CUCGUUGGGUGGGGCGGGCCCCUUGGGUUGCCCAGUGGCCGUGCGGGGAGGAAUGCCUGACUCCACGGGCCAUGGCGAAGGAAGAGAAGGUCCCCCUUUUCUGGAUCGAUGAUGAUCAAUGCCAGCGUAUGAGGCAUCGAUGACGAAUAAUGUGUGUCUGGAACUCUGAGGUCCACUCGCAAGGAAACGGGGCCUUUCUCUUCCUGCCUUUCCAUCCUCGAGCCCAACGGGGCAGCGCCGACCGCCCGAGGAGCCCAGUCGAUGGCGUCUCACUGUGGGUGUCACCUUGUCUCUUGGGUCUCCCUUAUAGGGUGGAAGCCGAAGGCCAGGCCAGGCUGCGUGGGGCCGAGACCCCUCCUCUGGCGGUGGUGGCAGGAGAGAUCCCAAGAGUGUGUACCCCUCAGAGCAAUUGCACUGGAGAUGCUUUAGCAUCUUCCGUACGGACCCGAGCUCUGGGAUUGCCUCUGAACAUACGUGUUAGGACAUGGGAGAGUCACAGGACAUGCUCCCCGCUCUUUCGGCUUCUGCUGAGCUCAAGAUUGUCAGGCCGCCUCCGCGCCAGCAAAGAAGCGAAGGAGGGUGCACCGGACCUGAAUGCAGCUUUCUUCCUUGAUGAGCAGGUGAGGAUGGCAUCAUUAUCUUUGGACUCAGGAGACCAGUGUGAGCAGCAUCCCCUUCCUGGUAUUGGUUUCGGUGGUCCAUCUAAGGGUAUUUACUGCAUUAAUAAAAUGUUUGAAAUAGAAGUAAGGCAGUCCAUUUUUAUCCUGUUGCUAUAAAGAGAUUAAUAUGACCCAUCAUACUGAUUAAUGCACAUUUGAAAAACCAGUCAUGAUUGUGGCAGAGGUAGAAUGAUGUGACAAUGGUUCUGUACACAUAGUGGGUAUAGCAAGGGCUUUUUGGGUUUUGUGAAUCAUAGAGUUAUAAAUUAUAACCAGCGAAUCAAUGAAUUGAUCGGUCAGCAAUAUAGAAUGAAGGGACAGCGAUCUUUUCUGGACCAGUGAUGAUGAAAGCCGGCGUGUGAGUCAGCGACGAUGAGCAUGAGUAGUAGUGUCUGGAACUCUGAGGUCCAGGGGAAGAAAUGCGGCUUUUCUCUUCAUGCGGUUUCAUUCUUGAUUCUAACUGGACCAACGAAAGACUCCGUAGCCAAAUAUGGAUCAAUGGGGAAAAAGUCUCUGUCUCUUCAUCACCUUCUCUGUUGGGUACUUUUCAGGACAGGAGCUCAAAGGGAUGUUGGCCUCCGCUGGGAUGAAGGCUCUCCUCUUGGAGUUGUUCUAGGAGAGACCAAGGUGAGUCAGGGCCAAGUUCCUGUCUUGGUUUGGGUGGUUGGUUUAGGGUUUUGCUGCAUUGUUAAAGCAAUGAAUAUGAUCAAAAGGUUAAGGAUGGCCCAUUGAUAAAUAUGACAUGAAAUCUUACGUUAAAGAAGUGAUAAUAUGUAACAUUGUUGGUCAUUAAUGAAAGAUUUAUAAUCCACUUUGGUAAUAAUUGGAGGAGAAAUUGGGGAUAUUUUAGGGUAUUGUUCUUUUAUUUUGGUGAAUUAUAUUUUUAUUUUAUUAUUAUCAAUAAAGUAGUGAUUUAAUUGAUAUAAAUAUACA
ensembl:lncRNA